rnacentral:rRNA from 1 species
CCAAUAGCGUAUGUUAAAGUUGUUGCAGUUAAAAAGCUCGUAGUUGAAUUUCGGGAUCAAUAUGUCGGUCGUGCCUCCGGUACGUACUGGCAUCAUUGAUUUCUCCCUUCUGACGAACCAUGAUGUCAUUAAUUUGGUGUCAUGGGGAGUCAGGACUGUUACUUUGAAAAAAUUAGAGUGUUUAAAGCAGGCUCACGCUUGAAUACAUUAGCAUGGAAUAAUGAAAUAGGACGUUUGACCCUAUUUUGUUGGUUUCUAGGAUCAACGUAAUGAUUAAUAGGGAUAGUUGGGGGCAUUAGUAUUCAAUUGUCAGAGGUGAAAUUCUUGGAUUUAUUGAAGACUAACUACUGCGAAAGCACUUGCCAAGGAUGUUUUCAUUAAUCAAGAACGAAAGUUAGGGGAUCGAAGACGAUCAGAUACCGUCGUAGUCUUAACCAUAAACUAUGCCGACUAGGGAUCGGAUGAUGUUAAUUUUUUAAUGACUCAUUCGGCGCCUUACG